rnacentral:tRNA from 1 species
GCGACAAUAGCUCAGGUGGCAGAGCACCUGCCUUUUAAGCAGGGUGUCGUGGGUUCGAAUCCCGCUUGUCGCACCA